rnacentral:lncRNA from 1 species
UGAAAAAUUCCAGUGCAAAAAUCCAACCUGGUUUCGGUGGUUGGGAUGUGGAGGAGAAGAUUGUGUGGCCACCAGCUCUUCACCAGCUCUUCACCUUCUCCACAGCAGCAGAAACUUCACCAAAGGAAGGUUUUUCUCUUGCUGAUCUUCUCAUCCCAAGACAAAUUCAAGAAAAAAAAUAAAAAAACCAAACAUUUUCCAGCUUCUUGGUUUCACUCCAGGAUCCUCUGGAAUUCACUGUGGGAGCUGCACCAGUGGCUGCCCAGAUCUGAGUCACUCUGGUGCCCAGGGGCUUCUCCAGACAAGCCCUGCUUGGUGCUGCAGCUCCAGGAGGUGCUGGACCUUCAGGAGGUGACAUUUGGAGCCCUGCAGCCCUGCUCUGGAGGAAGAGGCCCAGCCCCUCUGUGACCAGUGACUGCUUUUUAUCCUGGAUUCCCUUGGCUUGCUGCAGUUGGGCUCCAUCAUCUCGAGGUCUUUUCCAGCCUGGAGAAUUCUGUGAUCUCAUUUUUGUGAUUUUUGUGGCUGUCCCUAAGGAAGCCCAUCCUACAGGAUUUGUAGGAGUGGGAUAGAGAACAGAGCCCAGAGGCUCCCACCAGACACAGCUCCCCCAGCCCUGCUUCCACCUGGGGCUGCACCAGUACAAACCAGCACACCCCAGUUCCUCCUGGGAGGUGGGAAAGAGGUCCAGGAUCACAGCCCUGCCCUGUCCCCCUCCCUGUGCCCCUCAGGACCCAGCUUCUGCUCUCCACAAGAUGUCACAGCUCUGGUUGGGAUGCUCCUGCUGCUGCCUCCUCUCCAAGGGAUGUUCCUCCCCCACCUCCUCAAACCCUGUGUUGACAACAGAGUGGCAAAAAUAAAAAUGGCCAAAAAAGGAGCGUUGGCA